UACGAAGGGGGCUAGCGUUGCUCGGAAUCACUGGGCGUAAAGCGCACGUAGGCGGCUUUUUAAGUCAGAGGUGAAAUCCUGGAGCUCAACUCCAGAACUGCCUUUGAUACUGAGGAUCUUGAGUACGGGAGAGGUGAGUGGAACUGCGAGUGUAGAGGUGAAAUUCGUAGAUAUUCGCAAGAACACCAGUGGCGAAGGCGGCUCACUGGCCCGAUACUGACGCUGAGGCACGAAAGCGUGGGGAGCAAACAGG
rnacentral:rRNA from 1 species